rnacentral:rRNA from 1 species
ACAAAGGGCAGCAAGUUCGCGAGGACAAGCAAAUCCCAUAAACCGUGGCUCAGUUCAGAUCGUAGGCUGCAACUCGCCUACGUGAAGGAGGAAUCGCUAGUAAUCGCAGGUCAGCAUACUGCGGUGAAUACGUUCCCAGGCCUUGUACACACCGCCCGUCACACCAUGGAAGUUGGCCACGCCCGAAGCCGUUACUCCAACCCUUGUGGAGGAGGACGUCGAAGGUGGGGCUGAUGACUGGGGUGAAGUCGUAACAAGGUAUCCGUACCGGAAGGUGCGGAUGGAUCACCUCCUAAC